rnacentral:rRNA from 1 species
GCUUGCUCCCGGAUGUUAGCGGCGGACGGGUGAGUAACACGUGGGUAACCUGCCUGUAAGACUGGGAUAACUCCGGGAAACCGGAGCUAAUACCGGAUAGUUCCUUGAACCGCAUGGUUCAAGGAUGAAAGACGGUUUCGGCUGUCACUUACAGAUGGACCCGCGGCGCAUUAGCUAGUUGGUGAGGUAACGGCUCACCAAGGCGACGAUGCGUAGCCGACCUGAGAGGGUGAUCGGCCACACUGGGACUGAGACACGGCCCAGACUCCUACGGGAGGCAGCAGUAGGGAAUCUUCCGCAAUGGACGAAAGUCUGACGGAGCAACGCCGCGUGAGUGAUGAAGGUUUUCGGAUCGUAAAGCUCUGUUGUUAGGGAAGAACAAGUGCAAGAGUAACUGCUUGCACCUUGACGGUACCUAACCAGAAAGCCACGGCUAACUACGUGCCAGCAGCCGCGGUAAUACGUAGGUGGCAAGCGUUGUCCGGAAUUAUUGGGCGUAAAGGGCUCGCAGGCGGUUUCUUAAGUCUGAUGUGAAAGCCCCCGGCUCAACCGGGGAGGGUCAUUGGAAACUGGGAAACUUGAGUGCAGAAGAGGAGAGUGGAAUUCCACGUGUAGCGGUGAAAUGCGUAGAGAUGUGGAGGAACACCAGUGGCGAAGGCGACUCUCUGGUCUGUAACUGACGCUGAGGAGCGAAAGCGUGGGGGAGCGAACAGGAUUAGAUACCCUGGUAGUCCACGCCGUAAACGAUGAGUGCUAAGUGUU